rnacentral:rRNA from 1 species
UACGAAGGGGGGCUAGCGUUGCUCGGAAUCACUGGGCGUAAAGCGCACGUAGGCGGAUCUUUUAAGUCAGGGGUGAAAUCCUGGAGCUCAACUCCAGAACUGCCUUUGAUACUGAGGAUCUUGAGUCCGGGAGAGGUGAGUGGAACUCCGAGUGUAGAGUGAAAUUCGUAGAUAUUCGGAAGAACACCAGUGGCGAAGGCGGCUCACUGGCCCGGUACUGACGCUGA